GAUGAAGAACGCAGCGAAAUGCGAUAAGUAAUGUGAAUUGCAGAAUUCAGUGAAUCAUCGAAUCUUUGAACGCACCUUGCACCCUUUGGCAUUCCGAAGGGUAUGCUCGUUUGAGUGUCAUUGUACUCUCACACUUCCAAUCUUUGGAUUGGGGGCGGUGGACUUGGGUGUUGCUGCUUACUGUGGCUCACCUCAAAUUGAUUCGUGCACCUCUUGGUUGGACAUAGUACGGCGUGAUAAGUGUCUUCGCCGGCACCUCAGUAGAGGGUGGCUGAUCGGGAGCUCUGUGCUUCAAACCGUCCUCGGACAACAACUGACAACUUGACCUCAAAUCGAGUAGGACCACCCGCUGAACUUAAGCAUAUCAAUAAGCGGAGGA
rnacentral:misc_RNA from 1 species